rnacentral:other from 1 species
UAUUGAUGGUAAAGCUAUCAACUUUGUAAACUGGUGAAUUUACACAAGGCUUCUGCGAUGGAAGCUAAUAGGAGGAUUUUUUUACAUGAAAAAUGGUAAAGUAAAAUGGUUCAACUCAGAAAAAGGUUUUGGAUUCAUCGAAUCUGAAGAUGGAAAUGACGUUUUCGUACAUUUCUCAGCUAUCCAAACUGAAGGUUUUAAAACAUUAGAAGAAGGUCAAGAAGUAUCUUUCGAAGUAGUUGAAGGUGCUCGUGGACCUCAAGCAGCAAACGUUCAAAAAAAAUAAUCAUUAAAACUAAAUGAUAACAGCUCAGCCAUAGUGGUUGAGCUGUUUUU